GAUCUGAAAUCAGGUAGGGCUACCCGCUGAACUUAAGCAUAUCAAUAAGCGGAGGAAAAGAAACUAACAAGGAUUCCCCUAGUAACGGCGAGUGAAGCGGGAAGAGCUCAAAUUUAAAAUCUAGUUUGCUUGCAAACUCGAGUUGUAGUCUGAAGAAACGUUUUCCAUGAAAGCUGAGGCACAAGUCCUUUGGAACAGGGCAUCAUAGAGGGUGAGAAUCCCGUCCAUGGUCUCAAGUCUUUCAUUUUGUGAUACGUUUUCUAAGAGUCAGGUUGUUUGGGAAUGCAGCCUAAAAUGGGUGGUAAAUUUCAUCUAAAGCUAAAUAUUGGCGAGAGACCGAUAGCGAACAAGUACCGUGAGGGAAAGAUGAAAAGAACUUUGAAAAGAGAGUUAAAAAGUACGUGAAAUUGUUGAAAGGGAACCGUUUGAAGCCAG
rnacentral:rRNA from 1 species